rnacentral:tRNA from 1 species
GAAGCCUUAGCUUAAUUAAAGUGUCUGAGUUGCAAUCAGAUGAUGUAGAGUAGUACUCUGUAGGCUUU